rnacentral:rRNA from 1 species
GACGAACGCUGGCGGCGUGCCUAAUACAUGCAAGUAGAACGCUGAAGGAGGAGCUUGCUUCUCUGGAUGAGUUGCGAACGGGUGAGUAACGCGUAGGUAACCUGCCUGGUAGCGGGGGAUAACUAUUGGAAACGAUAGCUAAUACCGCAUAAUAUUAAUUAUUGCAUGAUAAUUGAUUGAAAGAUGCAACUGCAUCACUACCAGAUGGACCUGCGUUGUAUUAGCUAGUAGGUGAGGUAACGGCUCACCUAGGCGACGAUACAUAGCCGACCUGAGAGGGUGAUCGGCCACACUGGGACUGAGACACGGCCCAGACUCCUACGGGAGGCAGCAGUAGGGAAUCUUCGGCAAUGGACGAAAGUCUGACCGAGCAACGCCGCGUGAGUGAAGAAGGUUUUCGGAUCGUAAAGCUCUGUUGUAAGAGAAGAACGGGUGUGAGAGUGGAAAGUUCACACUGUGACGGUAUCUUACCACAAAGGGACGGCUAACUACGUGCCAGCAGCCGCGGAAAUACGUAGGUCCCGAGCGUUGUCCGGAUUUAUUGUGCGUAAAGCGAGCGCAGGCGGUUAUAUAAGUCUGAAGUUAAAGGCUGUGGCUUAACCAUAGUACGCUUUGGAAACUGUUUAACUUGAGUGCAGAAGGGGAGAGUGGAAUUCCAUGUGUAGCGGUGAAAUGCGUAGAUAUAUGGAGGAACACCGGUGGCCAAAGCGGCUCUCUGACCUGUAACUGACACUGACGCUCGCCAGCGUGGGGCGCGAACAUGAUAGAUACUUAUGUAGUCUACGGCGAGUUUACAUUCGUCUGCGGGCCGGGGGAUCUCGUUGGGUCGAGACGGACGCAGCUUCUGGAGCCCUAUUCGACGUAAGUUGAUCUUAUAGAAAAACAAU